CCUACGGGUGGCAGCAGUGGGGGAUAUUGCACAAUGGGGGAAACCCUGAUGCAGCGACGCCGCGUGGGUGAAGAAGCGCCUCGGCGCGUAAAGCCCUGUCAGCAGGGAAGAAAAUGACGGUACCUGAAGAAGAAGCCCCGGCUAACUACGUGCCAGCAGCCGCGGUAAUACGUAGGGGGAAAGCGUUAUCCGAAUUUACUGGGUGAAAGGGGGGGGCAGACGGCGAUGCAAGCCAGGAGUGAAAGCCCGGGGCCCAACCCCGGGACUGCUCUUGGAACUGCGUGGCUAGAGUGCAGGAGGGGCAGGCGGAAUUCCUGGUGUAGCGGUGAAAUGCGUAGAUAUCAGGAGGAACACCGGUGGCGAAGGCGGCCUGCUGGACUGCAACUGACGUUGAGGCCCGAAAGCGUGGGGAGCAAACAGGAUUAGAUACCCUGGUAGUC
rnacentral:rRNA from 1 species